rnacentral:rRNA from 1 species
AUGAAGCAUGCCUUGCGACGUGCCGGCGUGGAUGACCCCAUGUCAAUGAAGUUCCACUUCAUGAUGGGAUUGAACAACGACAUCUCCAAGCCUAUCUUCCUCGAGAACUACAGGUCCCUCGACGACAACUACAUUGGUUCUCUCAAGGCGGAACAAGAACUCAUGAAGGCCAAGGUUCUCCAUCCCAAGCUCACUUCUCAAAGACCAAGCUCCAACAUGGCGAUCAAGGAUGAUGCUCCCAUCUUAGGAGGCGAAAGUGAUGAUGUGCCAUCUUCGGCCUUCAUCCAUCGCGACGGCGAUGAGAUGGUUGAGUAUGUCACCUCGACCACGGCGACGCAUGAUGACUUGAGUGACUUUUGCCACCAUAUUGAGUGUGAGAGUGACUUCACCACUAGCCCCAUAUAUGAUGUGUUUCCACAAUUCCCAUGUGAGGAGAGCCACAACCCCCACCUCUUGAGUGAGAAGAGUGACUCCACCAUAUGUGAGUUUGAGUGCACCUAUUGUGAGGGAGUGAGUGAACCACCACAUAGAGAGAGUGAGGUAGUUGAUAGGGCAUGUGAGGCCACUAUGAUUUCUAAUGACUUGACCUCUACCUCUAUUGUGUCUUCUCAUUUAGUUCUAGGUCCCUUGUAUGAUGAUGCGCCGAUUCUCGACGACUUCGUCCUACCUUUGGACAAGACGAUGGCCAUGGUGGAAUGUGAUGCACCCCCCACAUGGUUCCAUCAAGAUGAAGAUGACCACCAUUUGGUCUUUCCCACCUCACCUACACCACAUGAGUGGAAUGACAAAGGUAACAUAGGUGAAGGUGAUGCUCUAGUCCCACUAGUGGACAUUCUUGACGUUGAUUGCUUGCAUGAUGUUGAUCAACCUAUUUCCAUGCUUCAUGCUAGUGUGACUUCCCCAUGCGAUGAUUUACCCAUUUAUGUUGAGUAUGAUGAUUUCCAUGUGGAGUCUAUUUGUUGUGAUGCCAUGUUACAUAGGAUUUCUUGUGCUAAUUCUCUCAGUCACAUCAUGUUUGCCAAUCCGCUUGACUUGUCAUAUGCUAUGCAUGAGAUCGACCACAUGUCAUAUUUGCAAUAUCUUCAUAGUGACUAUGCAUAUGCCAUUCAGAUUAACCCAAUUUGCACUUAUGGCAUAGAUGACAAGCCCAUGGUUAUUGGCAUUUGUUUUUCUUGUGAUGAUAUUUGA